UGAUCAUGGCUCAGGAUGAACGCUGGCGGCGUGCUAAUACAUGCAAGUCGAGCGAACAGACGAGGAGCUUGCUCCUCUGACGUUAGCGGCGGACGGGUGAGUAACACGUGGAUAACCUACCUAUAAGACUGGGAUAACUUCGGGAAACCGGAGCUAAUACCGGAUAAUAUAUUGAACCGCAUGGUUCAAUAGUGAAAGACGGUUUUGCUGUCACUUAUAGAUGGAUCCGCGCCGCAUUAGCUAGUUGGUAAGGUAACGGCUUACCAAGGCAACGAUGCGUAGCCGACCUGAGAGGGUGAUCGGCCACACUGGAACUGAGACACGGUCCAGACUCCUACGGGAGGCAGCAGUAGGGAAUCUUCCGCAAUGGGCGAAAGCCUGACGGAGCAACGCCGCGUGAGUGAUGAAGGUCUUCGGAUCGUAAAACUCUGUUAUUAGGGAAGAACAAAUGUGUAAGUAACUAUGCACGUCUUGACGGUACCUAAUCAGAAAGCCACGGCUAACUACGUGCCAGCAGCCGCGGUAAUACGUAGGUGGCAAGCGUUAUCCGGAAUUAUUGGGCGUAAAGCGCGCGUAGGCGGUUUUUUAAGUCUGAUGUGAAAGCCCACGGCUCAACCGUGGAGGGUCAUUGGAAACUGGAAAACUUGAGUGCAGAAGAGGAAAGUGGAAUUCCAUGUGUAGCGGUGAAAUGCGCAGAGAUAUGGAGGAACACCAGUGGCGAAGGCGACUUUCUGGUCUGUAACUGACGCUGAUGUGCGAAAGCGUGGGGAUCAAACAGGAUUAGAUACCCUGGUAGUCCACGCCGUAAACGAUGAGUGCUAAGUGUUAGGGGGUUUCCGCCCCUUAGUGCUGCAGCUAAC
rnacentral:rRNA from 1 species